rnacentral:lncRNA from 1 species
CACGCUCCAGAUUUAUCAAGGUAGAUCCGACUCACGCGCCCCACGCACCGGCGCGUGAGCACUGUUCCGGUGAGAUUCUGACGAAGGUCCUUCAGGGCAGUUAGAUCGCCCUCAAAUUCCGAGCCUACCCAUAUUUUUACUUUUCAAUUCCGACAACUUUGAAGUUUUUCCGGCAUCUGCAGUGAUUUUUUCCGGCAUCUACAGUAAUUUUCCGGCAAAAACAGUAUUUCCUUCAUC